UUCACAGAGAAAAUUCAAUUAUUUUCUUUUUAGCCUGGAUCUGCUCUUCUCAAAGCAGCCAGCAACUCACUGCAAGCCUCCUGCACCAUCCCUCUGGCAAAUAUCUUGAGUGCAGCUCGGCCAGAGGCUUUAUUUUUAAUCACUUCAUUUUUAUUAACACCCACGCUCCUACAUCUUAGGGUGGAGAGCUCUCAUGGAUGCAGAACGCUUAUGAGUGCAGCUAUGGGAAAUGACAUGGAGAUGACUCCGGUCCUGCUAACCCGGUCCUCUUGAACCUAAUUAAAGCUACGGAAGGUAGCUACCCGCAGCCUGACCCAACGACAUCAAAUGUGUAUGGGGAAAUGCAUCUUUAAAAUCAAGCUGACCCUUUAGGGUGUGCUACCUUGAAGUAUGCGCUACUGCAUUACAGCUGUAUGGGGUUUAGGUUACCAUAUGAAAACUGUUGAUCAUGGCUCAAACCUCCAAUUGAUCACCUGAGGCAAGCAGAGAGUCAGCCCUGAGAGCACAUGUGAAUGUAAUUCAGCUGUGCUACAGGAAGGGGUGGAGCCUGGCUGCACCUCUCCUAGACCCUAUUUAAGGGCUGACUGCCACUGGGGAAGGAUGUUUCUCUGGAGGUUGCUUCUUUGAGGAGUUUCAUUGUGAGCUUUCAACCUUGCCCACUUUUUAGCCCUGCCCAACUGACGAAGCAAGUUUCCCCUGCUCAAGGCUCGGCUUUGCACACGAGUUCACCAGCAAACCAGGGGAUGGCAGCUCAUAAAAGAAGGCCUGGAAAAGCCUCGAUGCUUUUUGAGUAAACAAGGGGCUCUGAAAAAUAUGCACCUUUUUAUAUAACGGAUUUAACAACUUGUUAAUAGCUGAAAAUUAUGAUGGUUAAGAACUGAAGCCAGCCAGUGUAUAGUGGGUUCUGUUCAGCUCUCCCUUGCAGUGUUACCGUGAGCAGCCCUGGGAUCCUUGUCUUGAUCACAUGAGACAUCCCUGGGACGUGCACCCAGAGUCCGAUGCUCUUCAUCCUUUUCAUGCCUUCUUGCCCCAUCACUGCUGCUCAACAGAAAGAAUAACUCAGGUUGACACGGUUUCUACCAGAGACGGGAGCUACUGAAUUAUCUAAGCACAAGCCUAAGUACUCCCUUUUAAAGGAUAACUGAUCUACUAAAAGCAAGUAUUGUUUUGGACAUGCCAUGUUGGAUUUAUAACGCUUCGCUUUGCAUUGCGCUGUUAUCUCCUGCGAUGUCAUUUGGACGAGACGAAGCACCAUGACACAACAUGACAGCUACCGUGGCAAUGAGAGAGAGACUCUGGCUGCAUUCCAGCUCUGUGAUGGCUCAACCUGAGCACAAGAUUCAAGGGACAGGAAUGGCAGUGUGUUUGUAGGUGGUUAUUUCAUUAUCUUCCUCUUCCAAACAACUUGAUUACAAGAGAGGAAAAGCUUUGCCAUCAGCUUUUUUGACAGUUCUGAGGAACAUGCCAGGAAAGAAAGGUGAAGACAGCUCUGUUUUCAUGUACAUUGUCAAACUGGGAAGAAAAAAGAAAGAUCAAGAGAAAGAUGAGCCUGUUCUUCAACAGAAGCUGACGCCUUUGGAAGAAAUAUAAGCCCAUCUUCCAGUUGGAAAGGGCCUUUGCUCAAGAAAACACAAGAUGGCACAAAAAGUCUACCUACUUCAAGUUCCUUUGUGCCAGCCUUCACACCCACCAUGAAAGCCUGGAUGCAGGAUGAUGCUUAGAGGGUCACACCGGUUCCUUGCUCCAAAAGCAGAGCCGUCUCCAAGCAGGUAGCCACGCUCUAUUCAUUCUGCAGAUCCUACCAUUUUCCAUGUCCAUUUAAUAUCAGCUAGCUCCUCUUAAGAUGUUGUUGUUCUGCUAUUGCUGGACUCAUUUAUUGUGCUCUGUGUCUCACAUACUCUCUAGAUGAAAACAAGUAAUUGGCAAGUCCAGCCUGCCCAUAUGCCAUUCAGUUUGUGUCUGGUGGUGUCCUGACCUCAGUUUUGUCCCUGCUGCUUUAAGUCCAACCGAGCAGCUGAGGAAUGCUCCUGUACCUGAAACUAAGGAAGCUAUUCUUUCCCCUGGUCAUAUAAACUUAACUUGCUUUUCAAAGAUAAAUGGUAGUUUAUCAUUCAGCUCCUCAAACAUCUGAGGAAAUGCACUGGAAAUGCUUGGCACAUACGGUACUUUUAUGUGGCUUAUUUUUUCACUUAUCUACAAGUCUGCACAGUAUUAUUGUUAUUUGGCACACAGCAAAAGGAAGUCCCCUGUGCAUAACAUGAUUUAGUCUGGCCGAUAAAGUGGAAGUGGGUUUCUUGGUGGCAUAUUAAGUUCCGCUGGAUUCCAUUUGCACAAGAAGCAGAAUUGCGCUUUCAUGUUCCUUUAUGAUGAUACAUUUCCUGUCAGGCAUCCUCAUCUUUUUCUGUUUCCCUAAAUAUUAAAAUUUCUCCCAGCGGUGAUUCUCUUCAUUUCCCAUUCCCAUAUGUUUGUUCUUCAGCAUCAACCCCAAUUUGUACAGGGCUGGAGACAGCCCUUUUCUACAUGCAGUGAUGUGCAGCCAGCAGAUUGAGUGAGACCAACGAGGCUACACUGAGCCACGUAACACACCGCAGAGCUGGGUUCUCCCUACUGUGCCGUAGAAUCACCACAGUUGAAAAAUACUUCUGUGAUCAUCCAGUCCGGCCACCCACCUAUCCCCAGUCAUCCCCUCUAGUUUGUGUCCCACAGUAUGGUGUCUACACGUUCCUUGAAUACCUCCAGGGAUGGUGACUCCACCACACCCCCGGGCAGCCAGUUUGAACACUUUAACCACUCUUAGUGCCUAGUGCAUUGGAAUAAAUAAUCUCUAUGUGAGUUUUAUUGCGCACCACAGAAUGGAUGCUACCAGUUUUCUCUUCUAGAUGGCCUCACACAGUGCAGUUACAGUGGGAGCUUUGACCUGAAAUCAGAGGACAGCAUCUACAGUCUCUGUAGUCCUUCUUUCCCCUAUUAACUCAUCUCUCCUUCCCUCCUGCCCUACGGUUUUACCUAUUAUUCCGUGCCUAAUAAAGUAGUAGCAAAG